CACGUAGGCACCAAGCGUUGUCCGGAUUUAUUGGGCGUAAAGAGCUCGUAGGCGGUUCGGUAAGUCGGGUGUAAAACUUUGGGCUCAACCAAGCCUGCACUCGAUACUGCUGUGACUUGAGUCCGGUAGGGAGUGGAAGUUCCUGGUGUAGCGGUGAAUGCGCAGAUAUCAGGAGGAACACCGGUGCGAAGGCGCCACUCUGGCCGGUACUGACGCUGAGGAGCGAAGCGUGGAGCGAACAGG
rnacentral:rRNA from 1 species